ACCAGAAAUAGAAAGAAGAACCGAGAGAAGGGAGGUAGGAGAAGGAAAAGAAACGAAAUGGAUUACGGGGAGAGUAAGUAGUUAAGGUUUGUAAGAAAUGCGAAGUGGAGGUUUUUGUUUUUUCCGAGGAUCAACUCCUAGAUAAUGCGAGCAGUCAUGGGCAUGACUAUUGUUUAGUUUUUUAAAACAUCCAUUUGUUAUUUUUUUUUUUAUAGGCGUGACAAUUAUUUUGUGUUUAAGAUAUCCAUUUAUUCUAUUUUGUAUAUAUAUUGAUAUAGUAUGAUUUGAAA